AGACCUCUAAUCUGCCCUGUAAUGUCCUAGUGUCUGGUAGUCAGAGAAGCUGACACAAGAAACAGGGAUCCCUGCUGCUCAUCCAGAAUCCAGAGAGAAUAUUCUACUGAAAUUAAAGAGUGCCCAACCCUGGGGUCCUCAGAGCUGUGCAGAAGGCCUGAGGUUGCAUUCUGAAGCUGCCCAUGGACUCUAGUACUCACCAGGUGAUUCUCCCCUUCCCCUGCCUCCAUGUGUCACCUGCAGGAGACAAUGAAUGAUGCACUUUUAUGACUUCCAAAUGUCAAGUAAUUGCCUCCGCUAAGACAUUCUAUAGGAAAUUAAUAAACACCCAUGUUCUGAUCCUGAGAUUCUAGGAAUAUUACCUUACAUCAACAAAGGGAGUUGGGAUUACAUUAAAGAUUCACGACCUGGAGAUUUUCCUGAAUAUUCUGCAGGAGAGCAAUAUAAUCACUAGGGCCCGGAGAGUGGGAAGGAAGGAUGGUCACAAUCAGGGGGUGGGACUAUGGUGAGAGGUCUUGAGAGAUGGAUGAAGGGCCAGGAGAAGGAAAUGAGAGAACCUAGGAGCUGGAAAGCCUGGAGCUGGAUUCUCUCCUCAGGCGCCUGCAGAAGGCACGCACCCAGCCCUCCUGCCCUGGUUUCAGCUCACUGGAAAUCUGAGCCCGAGGACCCUGAGAUAACCAGCUGUGCUGUUCUAAGCCUGGGAGGUGAUGGUGGUCUGUGGGGGCAGCAGUAGGGAACUGAUGCAAGGGAAGGGACAGAGACACCCUGGCAUUGGCCAUUCACUGCCCCACCAAACAUUGUCACAUUCCUGUCACUUGGUUUCUACUUUGACAUGAGGCAGAAAAACUUUUACCCUAAGAACAGAUCUAUCCAGAGCUCUUCUGAGGUAGAAAUACCUAGAUAAAUCUUCCCCCACGUGGGGUCUACUCACAGCACCAGAGGAGAGAGGAGGGUUUUGCUUGCUCUCUGCUCAUUGGUCUCCAUGUCAGGGGUAUGGAUUAGAUUCACAGGGGAGAGUGAGAGGGGAUGACUGAGUCAGCACUGGGGACAGAGGGCAGGAGGGAGGGUCAGGCACUACAACACACAUCCCUGCUCACAUCUGGAAUGAAGGCAGGUAGGGUAGGGAAGGCUGUAGGAUGUGUUUUGCAGAAGAGCCUGCAGAGUCCUGAGUUUCAGGUCAGGUCAGUAGGGAGUGGGCAGAUGCAGGAAGAGCUGAGAUUCCCUGUCUUCAGUUUGGAUCCUCUCCUCCCACCUCACAGGCCAUGCUGCACCUUUGGGAAGACUGUGACCACGUGGAAGAAAUGCAUCUAAAUUCAGACAGACCUGGGUUCAGAGCUAGCCCCAGCCCUCAUAGUCCACGUGACAUUGUUGAUCCCACUGUGCUGGGAUGACUGGUUCCCUCCUCUGUAGAAAGCCACAACAAAAAUAUCAGAGGGGGACCUGGGAUAAAGCAAAUGACUCACCUGAAAUAUGAUGCUAUAAAUAUACAGUCACAGAGUCUGCAUUAAUUCCCUCUGAAUAUCUUAAAUUGAGGAUACUCUGUGAUGUCCCAGUAGUGAGAUGUCUUCACUCACCACGGUUCCUUCUACAGAAAGCAGGUGCCUCUCUGCACUGUGGGAUUCCAUGUGCUGUAUAUCCAGCACUUUAGUGUCCACCGUCCAUUCCUGUGGAGCACUAGGAUGUUGAUGAGGACACCGGCAGCCAUAGUCUGGUGUUCCCUGGGCCCCAUGGUAUGAGUUCCCAACACCUGCUGUAAACACUUACCAGAGAUUGGAGGUCACAAUGAAGCCAGAUUUAAAGUUAGGUAGUCAGUGUAGUUAGGUAAAUCGGGUCUAAUAUAGAGUAACAUCCAAAAUGGAGGCCAUGUUGAGAAUGAAUUCAGGGAAAAGCAGAACAACUCUUGGAAUGUUAAUGAAGUUCGGGAAAAGCCCAAGGCCCAGAGCCCAACCCAAAGAAGUGUUAAUGAAACAGCUCCCAAUAAACUUGAAGAUGCUGACUCAAAAGUCCUUCCUGCCCAGAUUACUCCUUUGGCUCACCUGUGCCCAACCCUUAACAGAACAAAGGACAGGAAUGUGACAGGAAUAAAAGAAGGCCUAAACUAUAAAAUAGAGAGACAACUGCACUUCUGCAGAUUCCAUCUCGUGGGUCCCUUUCUUCCUCUGGGAGAAGUCUUUUCUGUGUCCUUUAAUAAACUUCCACUUUCCACUCUGACCUUGCCUCAAUGUGC
rnacentral:lncRNA from 1 species